UACAGAGGAGCCAAGCGUUGUCCGGAUUGACUGGGCGUAAAGCGCACGCAGGCGGUCUGGCGCGUGGGGUGUGAAAUCUGGCCGCUUAACGGCCAGGCGCCAUCCCAUACGGCCGGACUGGAGGGCUGCAGAGGUCGAUGGAAUUGCCGGUGUAGUGGUGAAAUGCGUAGAGAUCGGCAGGAACACCAGUGGCGAAGGCGGCCACCUAGCCCGCACCUGACGCUGAGGCGCGACAGCGUGGGGAGCGAACUGG
rnacentral:rRNA from 1 species